CAAUCCACAUAGCUACAACAACUUAAUUUUCACUAAGGUCUUCAAAAUUUUAUUUGGAAGAAAGACAACCACCUCAAUCAAAAGUACCUGGAAAACUGGAUUUUAACAUGAGGAAGUGUCUACAUUUCAUCAGUAAGCCAAGUAAAUCAUGGCUUCUUCAAGUGCAAGGAUCGAAACCAAUUACCAUUAGUGACCAUCGGGUGCAGCCGAUCCUUUCUGUCCUGUUGCCUGAAUCUCAAUGCUCUCCCAAGUGUGCCUGUGCAAUUUAACAGGACGAUCAAUACCCCGCAGCAGUUAGCAGCAGCCCUCUUGAAGUGCUUCACAAAACGUGCUACAUUUCUCUACCGAAUAAAUGUCAAAACAUUCCAA